AGCUGUUACAGAGGAAGCAACAGAGACACUUUAUGAGAGUGAUGAUGGAAAUGCAGAGGAAGAGGGUCCAGCCACUUCUCCAACAAACCUUUCCUCACUCCCUGUAAAGCAGCUGUACAAGACCUAUUUGAUCAAGAAAAUAAAAAAAUGCGACUUGGAAAUGGAACACUUCAAGCAGCAGAUCCAAAAGACCAAGAUUGAGAUUUUACUGCUGGAACAUCAGUUAAGGGAAAUACAGGCGACCAAUAAAGCCAGUUGAACAAAAAAUCUGUUUAUUCUUCUUUCAACAUGUUGAGGUGAUGGG